rnacentral:rRNA from 1 species
AUGCGUAGGGGGCGAGCGUUGUCCGGAAUUACUGGGCGUAAAGGGCGCGCAGGCGGUUGGAUAAGUCACACGUGAAAGGCAUCGGCUUAACCGGUGAAAGUCGUGUGAAACUGUCCGACUUGAGUGCAGUAGAGGGAAGUGGAAUUCCUAGUGUAGCGGUGAUAUGCGUAGAUAUUAGGAGGAACACCAGUGGCGAAGGCGACUUUCUGGGCUGCAACUGACGCUGAGGCGCGAAAGCUGGGGGAGCGAACGGGAUUAGAUACCCCGGUAGUCCCAGCCGUAAACGAUGAUCACUAGGUGUGGGAGGUAUCGACCCCUCCUGUGCCGAAGCAAACGCAUUAAGUGAUCCGCCUGGGGAGUACGUCCGCAAGGAUAAA